rnacentral:tRNA from 1 species
UUCGAAGUAGCUUAAUUGGGAAAGCGACCAGUAGUGAACUGGUAAUUAUAUAAGUCGUUUGAGACGAACAGAUGUGGGUUCGAUUCCUACCUUCGAGC